rnacentral:rRNA from 1 species
CAGUCGCCGCGGGAAUACGAAGGGGGCUAGCGUUGUUCGGAAUUACUGGGCGUAAAGGGCUCGUAGGCGGCUUGGUAAGUUAGAGGUGAAAGCCCGGGGCUCAACCCCGGAUGUGCAUUUGAUACUGUUUGGCUUGAGUUCGGGAGAGGUGAGUGGAAUUCCCAGUGUAGAGGUGAAAUUCGUAGAUAUUGGGAAGAACACCAGUGGCGAAGGCGGCUCACUGGACCGACACUGACGCUGAGGCGCGAAAGCGUGGGGAGCAAACAGGAUUAGAUACCCCAGUAGUCCCUGUCUCUUUACA